rnacentral:rRNA from 1 species
UCUGCUGUAAAAGUGGAGCUUAACUCCAUCGUGGCAGUGGAAACUGUUGGGCUCCCAUGAGGGAGGGGAAGAGGGAAUUCCCGGGGUAGCGGUCCUUUGCGUAGAUAUCGGGAAGAACACCAGUGGCGAAGGCGCUCUGCUGGGCCAUAACUGACGCUCAUGGACGAAAGCCAGGGGAGCGAAAGGGAUUAGAUACCCCUGUAGUCCUGGCCGUAAACGAUGAACACUAGGUGUCGGGGGAAUCGACCCCCUCGGUGUCGUAGCCAACGCGUUAAGUGUUCCGCCUGGGGAGUACGCACGCAAGUGUGAAACUCAAAGGAAUUGACGGGGGCCCGCACAAGCGGUGGAGUAUGUGGUUUAAUUCGAUGCAACGCGAAGAACCUUACCAGGGUUUGACAUCCUGCGAAUCUCCUGGAAACGGGAGAGUGCCUUCGGGAACGCAGUGACAGGUGGUGCAUGGCUGUCGUCAGCUCGUGUCGUGAGAUGUUGGGUUAAGUCCCGCAACGAGCGCAACCCACGUCUUUAGUUGCCAGCAUUCAGUUGGGCACUCUAGAGAGACCGCCGGUGAUAAACCGGAGGAAGGUGUGGAUGACGUCAAGUCAUCAUGCCCCUUACAUCCUGGGCUACACACGUACUACAAUGCUACGGACAAAGGGCAGCAAACUCGCGAGAGCUAGCAAAUCCCAUAAACCGUGGCUCAGUUCAGAUCGUAGGCUGCAACUCGCCUACGUGAAGGAGGAAUCGCUAGUAAUCGCAGGUCAGCAUACUGCGGUGAAUACGUUCCCGGGCCUUGUACACACCGCCCGUCACACCAUGGAAGGUGGCCCCGCCCGAAACCGUUCCUCCACCCCUGUGGGAGAGGACGUCGAUGGUGGGGCUGAAGACUGGGGUGAAAGCCUAACAA